UACUUAGUGGCGGACGGGUGAGUAACGCGUGGGUAACCUGCCUUACACUGGAGGAUAACACUUAGAAAUAGGUGCUAAUACCGCAUAAGCGCACGAAGCCGCAUGGAUUUGUGUGAAAAACUCCGGUGGUGUAAGAUGGACCCGCGUCUGAUUAGCUUGUUGGCGGGGUAACGGCCCACCAAGGCGACGAUCAGUAGCCGGCCUGAGAGGGUGAACGGCCACAUUGGGACUGAGACACGGCCCAAACUCCUACGGAAGGCAGCAG
rnacentral:rRNA from 1 species